rnacentral:rRNA from 1 species
AUUGAACGCUGGCGGCAGGCCUAACACAUGCAAGUCGAGCGGAUGACGGGAGCUUGCUCCUUGAUUCAGCGGCGGACGGGUGAGUAAUGCCUAGGAAUCUGCCUGGUAGUGGGGGACAACGUUUCGAAAGGAACGCUAAUACCGCAUACGUCCUACGAGAGAAAGCAGGGGACCUUCGGGCCUUGCGCUAUCGGAUGAGCCUAGGUCGGAUUAGCUAGUUGGUGGGGUAAUGGCUCACCAAGGCGACGAUCCGUAACUGGUCUGAGAGGAUGAUCAGUCACACUGGAACUGAGACACGGUCCAGACUCCUACGGGUGGCAGCAGUGGGGAAUAUUGGACAAUGGGCGAAAGCCUGAUCCAGCCAUGCCGCGUGUGUGAAGAAGGUCUUCGGAUUGUAAAGCACUUUAAGUUGGGAGGAAGGGCAGUAAGUUAGUACCUUGCUGUUUUGACGUUACCGACAGAAUAAGCACCGGCUAACUCUGUGCCAGCCGCCGCGGUAA